GACUAGCUUGGGCGUGACGGUUCCUCCCCGGAGGAUCAAAAGGGAACGCGGUGAGGGUCUUGGCCCGAUGCCGCGGCUGCCCCCGCAACUGUAAGCGGCGAGCCCAUCAUCAACACGUCACUGGAUGCUCCGGCAUCUGGGAAGACGAUGAGAGGGCGUCGACCCGCGAGCCAGGAGACCUGCCGUCAGUCGUGGUCACACG
rnacentral:ncRNA from 1 species